rnacentral:rRNA from 1 species
GACAGAGGAGCCAAGCGUUGUCCGGAAUCACUGGGCGUAAAGCGCACGUAGGCGGCUUUUUAAGUCAGGGGUGAAAUCCUGGAGCUCAACUCCAGAACUGCCUUUGAUACUGAGAUCUUGAGUCGGGAGAGGUGAGUGGAACUGCGAGUGUAGAGGUGAAAUUCGUAGAUAUUCGCAAGAACACCAGUGGCGAAGGCGGCUCACUGGCCCGUACUGACGC